GGACAGGCGGCGGCACGCCGGGACCAUGAGCAGCUCCGAGGAGGUGUCGUGGAUCUCCUGGUUCUGCGGCCUCCGAGGCAACGAGUUCUUCUGUGAGGUGGACGAGGAUUACAUCCAGGACAAGUUCAACCUGACGGGGCUGAACGAGCAGGUGCCGCACUACCGCCAGGCACUGGACAUGAUCCUGGAUCUGGAGCCCGGUAUGGCCUGGGGGGCUUGG